rnacentral:lncRNA from 1 species
CGGGCAAGGGACAGCGACGCCUGGGCCGGGGCAGGUGAGCGCGGCGCAGGCCCCGGCCCGCCGUGUCCGCGGUGCGCGCGAGCGGCCAGCAGAGGGCGCCAGAGAGCCAGGAGCGGCCCGCGGAGGAGCCCGCGCCGGCCCCGAUGCCCAGCUCCGCGCCGCGCGGACCCACCGAGCCCGCGCUCAGACGCUCCAGCUCCGCCGAGAGGCCGCUCGCGCCGGGUCCUUCCUCUUCCCCAAGUGCAGGCAGAGCCCCCGGAGCCAUGGCCAGCCCUUCCGGCAGCUCCGAAGCCACUGGCAAGCCCCGAGGCAGGGAUGGCCGGCCCAGGAGGGAGGAGGACGACGUCCCUCCCGAGGAGAAGAGGCUGCGCCUGGGGCUGGAGGGGGGAAGCGCACAGCCCGAGGACUGCGAGGACGGGGAGGACGCGCCGCGGCCGGGCAGGGAGGAGACCGGCACCCAGACAGGUGGCGACGGCAGAGGAAUAGCCUUCACUCUUCUCUGCAACAAAUUCCAAAAGUAUAUAGUUGAGCUGACUGCAAGGUACUUGACAUGCAAGAGACUCCACAAAUGGGAUUCGGCCUCUGGAAAGUGGUGGUAGUUCCAGAUUUAUGUGGAUGUUACUUUGUUUUUCCGUAUAAAAUAUAUUAUUUAAACUAUCAAA